UACGUAGGGGGCAAGCGUUGUCCGGAAUCAUUGGGCGUAAAGCGCGUGUAGGCGGCCCGAUAAGUCCGCUGUGAAAGUCCAGGGCUCAACCCUGGGAUGCCGGUGGAUACUGCUGGGCUAGAGUACGGAAGAGGCGAGUGGAAUUCCCGGUGUAGCGGUGAAAUGCGCAGAUAUCGGGAGGAACACCUAUUGCGAAGGCAGCUCGCUGGGACGUUACUGACGCUGAGACGCGAAAGCGUGGGGAGCAAACAGG
rnacentral:rRNA from 1 species